GAUGAACGCUGGCGGCGUGCCUAAUACAUGCAAGUCGAGCGAACGGAUGAGAAGCUUGCUUCUCUGAUGUUAGCGGCGGACGGGUGUGUAACACGUGGAUAACCUACCUAUAAGACUGGGAUAACUUCGGGAAACCGGAGCUAAUACCGGAUAAUAUUUUGAACCGCAUGGUUCAAAAGUGAAAGACGGUCUUGCUGUCACUUAUAGAUGGAUCCGCGCUGCAUUAGCUAGUUGGUAAGGUAACGGCUUACCAAGGCAACGAUGCAUAGCCGACCUGAGAGGGUGAUCGGCCACACUGGAACUGAGACACGGUCCAGACUCCUACGGGAGGCAGCAGUAGGGAAUCUUCCGCAAUGGGCGAAAGCCUGACGGAGCAACGCCGCGUGAGUGAUGAAGGUCUUCGGAUCGUAAAACUCUGUUAUUAGGGAAGAACAUAUGUGUAAGUAACUGUGCACAUCUUGACGGUACCUAAUCAGAAAGCCACGGCUAACUACGUG
rnacentral:rRNA from 1 species